UGAUGCGAUCAUACCAGCACUAAUGCACUUGAUCCUAUCAGAACACCACAGUUAAGUGUGCUUGGGCGAGAGUAGUACUAGGAUAGGUGACCUCCAGGAAAGUCUUCGUGUUGCAUCCC
rnacentral:rRNA from 1 species